rnacentral:rRNA from 1 species
GACGAACGCAGGCGGCGUGCUUAACACAUGCAAGUCGAACGGGAGUAUCGAAGAAGCUUGCUUUUAAGAUACUUUAGUGGCGGACGGGUGAGUAACGCGUGAGGAGCUGUCCUAUGCAGGGGGACAACAGUUGGAAACGACUGCUAAUACCCCAUAAGCCGAGAGGUAAAAGGAGCAAUCCGGCAAAGGAGGUACUCGCGUCCUAUCAGCUAGUAGGUUGGGUAACGGCCGACCUAGGCGAAGACGGGUAGCCGGCCUGAGAGGGCGAACGGCCACACUGGAACUGAGAUACGGUCCAGGCGCCAACGGGAGGCAGCAGUGGGGAAUAUUGGGCAAUGGGGGCAACCCUGACCCAGCGACGCCGCGGGGGUGAAGAAAUCCUUCGGGAUGUAAAGCCCUGUUGUAUGGGAAGAGCAGAAGACGGUACCAUACGAGGAAGCCCCGGCAAACUACGUGCCAGCCGCCGCCGUAA